CAAAAUGUAGUUUAAUGAAACCACCUCGCUUACACCGAGAAAAUAUUUGUACCCCCAAAUCAUUUUGA
rnacentral:tRNA from 1 species